UUCAUCCCGUCUGGAGCAGAUCCUGUUUUGGUCCGCAGGGUUGUGACCAGAAAACAAGUCCUGUUGGUCUCCCACCUCAAUCUGACGGAUAUUAUUUUGACACAGUGUUACAUUUCUGGUUCCAGCUAAGAAAGGUGAUGAAAAGUUGCUUUUUAGACAAAAUAAGCCCUUACCCUCAAAGGAAAGUUGCUCCUGAAAUACAAGCAGAAAUCAGUGAUGGAGUCUCACUCUAUCACCCAGCC
rnacentral:lncRNA from 1 species